rnacentral:rRNA from 1 species
UACGAAGGGGGCUAGCGUUGCUCGGAUUUACUGGGCGUAAAGGGCGCGUAGGCGGACAGUUAAGUUGGGGGUGAAAGCCCGGGGCUCAACCUCGGAAUUGCCUUCAAUACUGGCUGUCUUGAGUGUGGAGAGAGGUGUGUGGAACUCCGAGUGUAGAGGUGAAAUUCGUAGAUAUUCGGAAGAACACCGAGUGGCAGAAGGCGACACACUGGCUGACUACUGACGCUGAGGCGCGAAAGCGUGGGGAGCAAACAGG